rnacentral:rRNA from 1 species
GCGGCGGCCUNACACAUGCAAGUCGNAGCGCGCCCUUCGGGGUGAGCGGCGGACGGGUUAGUAACGCGUGGGAACAUACCCUUUGGUACGGAAUAGCCUCUGGAAACGGAGAGUAAUACCGUAUGAGCCCUUCGGGGGAAAGAUUUAUCGCCAAAGGAUUGGCCCGCGUUAGAUUAGGUAGUUGGUGGGGUAACGGCCUACCAAGCCUACGAUCUAUAGCUGGUUUUAGAGGAUGAUCAGCAACACUGGGACUGAGACACGGCCCAGACUCCUACGGGAGGCAGCAGUGGGGAAUCUUGGACAAUGGGGGCAACCCUGAUCCAGCCAUGCCGCGUGAGUGAUGAAGGCCUUAGGGUCGUAAAGCUCUUUCGCCUGUGAAGAUAAUGACGGUAGCAGGUAAAGAAACCCCGGCUAACUCCGUGCCAGCAGCCGCGGUAAUACGGAGGGGGUUAGCGUUGUUCGGAAUUACUGGGCGUAAAGCGCACGUAGGCGGACUGGAAAGUUGGGGGUGAAAUCCCAGGGCUCAACCCUGGAACUGCCUCCAAAACUAUCAGUCUAGAGUUCGAGAGAGGUGAGUGGAAUUCCGAGUGUAGAGGUGAAAUUCGUAGAUAUUCGGAGGAACACCAGUGGCGAAGGCGGCUCACUGGCUCGAUACUGACGCUGAGGUGCGAAAGUGUGGGGAGCAAACAGGAUUAGAUACCCUGGUAGUCCACACCGUAAACGAUGAAUGCCAG